rnacentral:rRNA from 1 species
AAACUCAAAUGAAUUGACGGGGACCCGCACAAGCAGCGGAGCGUGUGGUUUAAUUCGUUGCUACACGAAGAACCUUACCUGGGUUUGACAUAUAAGUUGUAGGGAACUGAAAAGGGACCGACCCUUCGGGGAGCUUAUACAGGUGUUGCAUGGCUGUCGUCAGCUCGUGUCGUGAGAUGUUCGGUUAAGUCCGCUAACGAGCGCAACCCUCGCCGUAUGUUACAAGUGUCAUACGGGACUGCCGGUAAAAGCCGGAGGAAGGUGAGGAUGAUGUCAAGUCAGCAUGACCUUUAUAUCCAGGGCUACACACACGCUACAAUGGUCUGUACAAUUGGUUGCCAAGCCGCGAGGCGGAGCCAAUCCGUAAAGCAGGCCUCAGUUCAGAUUGCAGUCUGCAACUCGACUGCAUGAAGCCGGAGUUGCUAGUAACCGCAGGUCAGCAAUACUGCGGUGAAUACGUUCCCGGGUCUU